rnacentral:rRNA from 1 species
UUUAUGGAGAGUUUGAUUCUGGCUCAGAACGAACGCUGGCGGCGUGGAUAAGACAUGCAAGUCGAACGGAGCUGUUUAAGUUAGCAAUAAUUUAGGCAGCUCAGUGGCGAAAGGGUGAGUAACAUGUGGGAAUCUGCCGGAAAGUGAGAAAUAACCAGCCGAAAGGUUGGGUAAUAUCGCAUGUGGACGCAAGUCUAAAGCAGGGGACCGAAAGGCCUUGCGCUUUCCGAGGAGCCCGCAUCCUAUCAGCUAGUUGGUGAGGUAAUGGCUCACCAAGGCGAUGACGGGUAGCUGGUCUGAGAGGACGACCAGCCACACUGGAACUGAGACACGGUCCAGACACCUACGGGUGGCAGCAGUCGAGAAUUUUUCACAAUGGGCGAAAGCCUGAUGGAGCGACGCCGCGUGGAGGAUGAAGGGCUUCGGCCUGUAAACUCCUGUCACUCGGGAACAAGCGAGGCGCCCUAAUACGGCGCUGAGUUGAUAGUACCGAGAGAGGAAGGGACGGCUAACUCUGUGCCAGCAGCCGCGGUAAUACAGAGGUCCCGAGCGUUGUUCGGAUUCACUGGGCGUAAAGGGUGUGUAGGAGGUUAUGUAAGUUAGACGUGAAAUCCUGCGGCUCAACCGCAGAAUUGCGUUUAAUACUGCAUAGCUAGAGGGCUCGAGGGGAAGAUGGAAUUCUCGGUGUAGCGGUGAAAUGCGUAGAUAUCGAGAGGAACACCGGUGGCGAAAGCGAUCUUCUGGAGAGCACCUGACUCUGAAACACGAAAGCUAGGGGAGCAAACGGGAUUAGAUACCCCGGUAGUCCUAGCCGUAAACGGUGUGCAUUAGAUGUUGGCGGAUUCGACCCCGCCAGUAUCGUAGGUAACCCGUUAAAUGCACCGCCUGAGGAGUACGGUCGCAAGAUUAAAACUCAAAGAAAUUGACGGGGGCCCGCACAAGCGGUGGAGUAUGUGGCUUAAUUCGAUGCAACGCGAAGAACCUUACCUAGGCUUGACAUGCAGCGUUCAGUCGUGGAAACACGAUGGCCCGCAAGGGCGAGCUGCACAGGUGCUGCAUGGCUGUCGUCAGCUCGUGCCGUGAGGUGUUGGGUUAAGUCCCGCAACGAGCGCAACCCUCAUACCAUGUUGUCUUACGCAAGUAAGAAUAUCUUGGUAGACUGCCCUGUGAUAACGGGGAGGAAGGUGAGGAUGACGUCAAGUCAGGAUGGCCCUUAUGCCUAGGGCUGCACACGUACUACAAUGCCCGGCACAAAAGGAAGCGAAACCGUGAGGUCGAGCCAAUCCUCGAAAACCGGGCCCAGUUCAGAUUGUAGGCUGCAACUCGCCUACAUGAAGCCGGAAUCGCUAGUAAUGGCGCAUCAGCUACGGCGCCGUGAAUACGUUCCCGGGCCUUGUACACACCGCCCGUCACAUCAUGAAAGCCGGUUGUUCCCGAAGUCGGUUAUCCCGCCUAAGGAAUGACCGGUGAUUGGGAUGAAGUCGUAACAAGGUAGCCGUAGGGGAACCUGCGGCUGGAUCACCUCCUUU